rnacentral:lncRNA from 1 species
AGCGUGAUUAAUUUCACUUUCUGUGUCUUACUCCAUGAGCCCUAAUGCUUCUGCUGAGAUUCCUAAUUCAGUGAAACCUGUUUAGGGGAUCAUCUCUGUUAGGCAGACAGCUGCUGAAAAGGCAUUCACUUUCCAAGCAUGGAUUUUAGAUUAUGGCCAAUCAAGACUCCGGCCUGGAAGAACACCUGUCAGAGACGUUUUUCUACAAGGAGAUGGUCUCUUUAAUCAUAUUUCAUUGUACUUCAGAAAAAGGUUCGUUUUAAAAUAGUCUUGCUCUGUCACCCAGGCUGGAAUCCAG